rnacentral:rRNA from 1 species
UGAGGAAUAUUGGGCAAUGGGCGCAAGCCUGAUGCAGCGACGCCGCGUGUGGGAUGAAGGGGCUACGCCUCGUAAACCACUGUAGCCCGGGACGAAAAACGCCUUAGAGGCGUUAGACGGUACCGGGAAAGCAAGGGUCGGCUAACUACGUGCCAGCAGCCGCGGUCAUACGUAGGACCCAAGCGUUGUCCGGAUUUACUGGGUGUAAAGGGUGCGCAGGCGGAUGGGUAAGUCAGGGGUGAAAGUCUUCAGCUUAACUGUAGAAUUGCCUUAGAUACUGCUCAUCUUGAGAGUGGAAGAGGUUGAUGGAAUUCCAGGUGUAGCAGUGAAAUUCGUAGAUAUCUGGAAGAACACCAGUGACGAAGGCGGUAAACUGACCCAUAACUGACGCUCAUGCACGAAAGCGUGGGGAGCAAACA